CUUACGGGAGGCACCAGUGGGGAAAUUUCCGCAAUGGGGGAAAGCCUGACGGAGCAAUGCGGCGUGGAGGUAAAAGGCCCACGGGUCAACAACCCCCCCUGGGAGGAGGGACAUGGCGUAUCUCCAGAGNAGGGNNNUUUC
rnacentral:rRNA from 1 species